AGCGAACGCUGGCGGCAGGCCUAACACAUGCAAGUCGAGCGGUAGCACAAGGGAGCUUGCUCCCUGGGUGACGAGCGGCGGACGGGUGAGUAAUGUCUGGGAAACUGCCUGAUGGAGGGGAAUAACUACUGGAAACGGUAGCUAAUACCGCAUAACGUCUUCGGACCAAAGAGGGGGACCUUCGGGCCUCUUGCCAUCGGAUGUGCCCAGAUGGGAUUAGCUAGUAGGUGAGGUAAAGGCCCACCUAGGCGACGAUCCCUAGCUGGUCUGAGAGGAUGACCAGCCACACUGGAACUGAGACACGGUCCAGACUCCUAUGGGAGGCAGCAGUGGGGAAUAUUGCACAAUGGGCGCAAGCCUGAUGCAGCCAUGCCGCGUGUGUGAAGAAGGCCUUCGGGUUGUAAAGCACUUUCAGCGGGGAGGAAGGCGAUAAGGUUAAUAACCUUGUCGAUUGACGUUACCCGCAGAAGAAGCACCGGCUAACUCCGUGCCAGCCGCCGCCGUAACAC
rnacentral:rRNA from 1 species